rnacentral:rRNA from 1 species
CAGUCGCCGCGGUAAUACGUAGGGUGCAAGCGUUAAUCGGAAUUACUGGGCGUAAAGCGUGCGCAGGCGGUUAUAUAAGACAGAUGUGAAAUCCCCGGGCUCAACCUGGGAACUGCAUUUGUGACUGUAUAGCUAUAGUACGGCAGAGGGGGAUGGAAUUCCGCGUGUAGCAGUGAAAUGCGUAGAUAUGCGGAGGAACACCGAUGGCGAAGGCAAUCCCCUGGGCCUGUACUGACGCUCAUGCACGAAAGCGUGGGGAGCAAACAGGAUUAGAUACCCCCGUAGUCCCUGUCUCUUAUAC